AUUUCUGCCCGGGGCUCUGAAAGUCAAAGUGAAGAAAUUCAAUGAAAUGGCAGUAAAUGACAGGGUGAUUGUGACUCUCUUAAGGGAGCCAACUGCCUUGUCAUCUAACUAGUGAUGCCCAUGAAUGGAU
rnacentral:ncRNA from 1 species